AGGCGGCGGCAGGGCUGAGACUCACCAGCCACAGGCGGCGGCGGGAGGGCGGGCGGGCGCGAGGCGGAGCGGAGGACACGCCAGGCGCAGCGCGGCGGCAACAACAGCGGCGGCGGCGGCAACAGCGGAGAGAUACCGGCGGCGGCUCCUUGGAAGCGGCAGCAGCGCCCGCCCGCCCCACUCGUCCCUUCCCUCACCCGCCGCGGAGACAGGGGGCAGCGCGGAGAGGAGAAGCCGGGCUCGGCGUGUGUGUGCGCGGGAGGAGGCGGAGGGGGGACACACCGAGGACUGCGCCGGCCGAGGGCGCACGGAGCAGGGAAGCAGCGGCGGCAGCACCGAGAGGCGGCGGCGGGUCCUUGUGCCCCGGCGAGGAGGGCGCAGCCCGCACGGGCUUUUCUAUCGAGUUUCCUCUUUUUUUUUCAUUCCCUCGGACUCGGCGUCGGGGCUGCGUUUGUCUCCGGAUUUGAAUCCUCCUCCUCCUCCUCCUUCCUCGGGGAAGCUCCCCUCCCCGCCCCCUCCCCUCCCCCACCGCCUCCCCGCCCGCCCGGAUCCAGCCGGGCGCCCCGUGCCGCGGUCGCGUUGCUCGGCGGAGCUGCUGCGGGCGCUCGCCGUCUCUGCGCGGGCUUGGAAUAUGGUUGGGGAAAUGGAAACCAAGGAGAAGCCGAAGCCGAGCCCCGAUUACCUGAUGCAGCUGAUGAACGACAAGAAGCUGAUGAGCAGCCUCCCCAACUUCUGCGGGAUCUUCAACCACCUCGAGAGGCUGCUGGACGAAGAAAUUAGCAGAGUACGGAAAGACAUGUAUAACGACACAUUAAAUGGUAGUACGGAGAAGAGAAGUGCAGAAUUACCAGAUGCUGUGGGACCUAUUGUACAGUUGCAAGAGAAACUAUAUGUGCCUGUAAAAGAAUAUCCAGAUUUUAACUUUGUUGGAAGAAUCCUUGGGCCCAGAGGACUAACAGCUAAACAGCUUGAGGCAGAAACAGGAUGCAAGAUAAUGGUCCGAGGGAAGGGCUCUAUGAGGGACAAAAAGAAGGUCUCCUUUAAGAGCAGAGACAACCAUGAUCCAGCAGUUUUGGAGGUAGAGGCAAAACAGAACCGGGGCAAGCCCAACUGGGAACACCUGAAUGAAGAUUUACAUGUACUUAUCACUGUGGAGGAUGCUCAGAACAGAGCAGAAAUAAAGCUGAAGAGGGCUGUUGAAGAAGUAAAAAAGUUACUGAUACCCGCAGCAGAAGGAGAAGACAGCCUUAAAAAGAUGCAGCUGAUGGAGCUUGCAAUUCUGAAUGGCACCUACAGAGAUGCCAACAUCAAAUCACCAGCCCUUGCCUUUUCUCUUGCAGCAACAGCCCAGGCUCCAAGGAUUAUUACUGGGCCUGCGCCUGUUCUCCCACCAGCUGCCCUGCGUACUCCUACGCCAGCUGGCCCUACCAUAAUGCCUUUGAUCAGACAAAUACAAACCGCUGUCAUGCCAAACGGAACUCCUCAUCCCACUGCUGCAAUAGUUCCACCUGGACCCGAAGCUGGUUUAAUUUACACACCAUAUGAAUACCCCUACACGCUGGCACCAGCUACAUCAAUCCUUGAGUAUCCUAUUGAACCUAGUGGUGUAUUAGGUAUGGCUUUCCCAACGAAAGGCUAAGAAUUCAAGAACGGUCUUAACUGAUCCUUCAUCAGAUCUGAAUUUUAACAAAUGCUUAGUUUUCAGCAGCCUUGAAAAAAGCUUGGCCUAGCAGUCAGUGACUUACUUGCACUUUUUUGCACAUAGAUUUAAAAUAAAAAUAGUGCUAUUAAUUGGAUUAGCUCCUAUUAUUACAGAGUAGCUGUAAUUUAUGAGUGUAUAGUAGUAUACUGACUGCUAAGUGUUCUAUAUAGUGUUUGCUUUACUAAUCACCUAAUUCAUUGCAGUUCAUACUUAUUGACUUAAAGUUUAAAAUCACAAUCUGUAGGCUUGAAGAAUUGCUUUAAAACUUUUUUGUGGUAGAACUGGAAGUGAUCUUAAGGUUAGCAAAUAAUUGUCAGUAUUAAAAGAUGGCAUUAUUUAAAAUAGUCCUGCUGCAAGAAAGGCACUUCAGUGAAUAUGUGACUAGUAAAGCUUAAAUGUGCUUGGGUCUAAUAGAUUUCAUGAAAUACUGUAAUUUUGGGAUUGUAAAUGAAUGGAUUAAACAGGUUAAGGCCAGGAUGUUUAAAAUAAAUGCAAUAUUAAUCUGCACAGAUAAACUUCUUUUUAAGAUUAAGAUUUGAAACUACUGUGCCUUAACUUGUUGCUUUUCUUAAAAUGAACUUUUGUAGUUAAUGAUCAUUUAAAUCCAUUUUGAUAAACCUGCUGUUAAUGUUUUCUUUGAAUGUUUUCUAACUUUGUCUUGGUAAUUGCAAUUUAACUAGGUGCGGUGGCUACUAAAGUUCGAAGGCACGAUAUGCGUGUCCAUCCUUACCAAAGGAUUGUGACCGCAGACCGAGCCGCCACCGGCAACUAACCUAUGACCUUCUGACCUCUGAACUCUUCACCCAAUGAUGACCUGACCAUGCCUGCCUGCUGAUCAGUUAACUGGUAAACGCCUUUGCUUGCCUGUCUUCAGUGCAGCGAGCUGGGGCACUUGUCCGUUCGUCUUACCAUCUAACAAAACAGACAAAGAAAUUGUUGUCCUCCAACUCCGCUUUUUGUUGUUCUCCUGUUUGGGUGAAAGUGGUUCUAGAACCUGCACUGAAUAGUAGUAAAGCAAUAAGGUCCAACUCAUCCCUCCGCACUGAUCAUCCUCUAGUGUCCUGCCCCAAGCGAACGGUAAGGAGGCCUCGCACGAGAUGGAGACAGAUGUCCCUUAACUACCCGAUGACAGAGGCAGUUACUGUGAGAGACUUCUAGGAAUAUUUUUCUUCUCAGAAAAAAAAAAAAAUAAAAAAAAAAAAGAGAAAAACUAAAAUAAGGAAGUCAAAGCUCUCUCUGAAUGUACUGUGUGAUGAUGCAUCAUGCAUGAACCUUUGGUCAGGGAUGUCAUUGGGGAAGGGAUUCCAAAAAGUAUUCAAAAUUUGAUAUGCUGUUUAGUCACUACCGGUGCCCUCAAAGGGCAGAUGUUGCAGCCUUUUUUUCUAUUGCCUGCCAAAUUGGACAUUUUAAAGGAAAGUGUGCCAUGAAAUGCAGAUGACGAUGACUUUUUAGAGCUACAUUAAUGCAGAGAACAAAACAGCAACACUAUUAAAACAAAAUCUGCGUUAAAUUACUUUAACCAUAUUUUAAUCUCCUCGGAAGAUUACAUGAGAACAAGGUACAUGCAUUAUGUGUCACAUUACUGGGCAAACUGUUCAAAUAUUUUUUUUAAAACCUCCCUGUAUAGAAAAAAAUUCAUUAAGGAUGUAAAAGCCAUGCUUGCCUAUUUGCUGUAUACAUGUAAUGAAAUUGUAGAUAAAGUGUAGUGCAUUGAAACAAAAUGAACAAAAAAGUAGAUACUUUUACUAUACAAGGGUGCUGGUGCAGAAAAAAAAAUAUAUUUUUUGAAAUGUAGCAUUUUAUACUUUCAAGUGUUAUAAAAAAAGAAAAAAAGAACAAAGAAACCCUUUAUUUCAUUAAAUGAUUUUUUCUGGUGGUUGUCAAGAAACAAAAGACCAAAAGAGCCUUUUAGUCUUUCUUUUUUAUUUUUUAAGUAUUGGAAUAAGUCUAAAGAAAAGGAAGUGCCUUAUUUUCUUCAUGGUCAUUUAGUCAAAUGUCUUGUAUAAUCAGCUUCUCCCUCAGACAAGUUACUGCAUGCCACUCAGUCGCCCAGUAUGUGAAAGAAGCUGUGAGGGAAGACAAAUGAUGAGUUGACCAUAUUAAUUACCUGAUUUUUGCCAUAACUAGUGUGACGUGACUUUGCCAAAAUCUCAUUUCAUAAAAUAUUUGUUAAGGUUUUGCCAAACCAGCCCAUUGGUAUUUCAACCACUCUACUUUUUAAAUCAUAGCAAAUGCCAUACUUGUGUAAUGUAAACCAAAGGGUUCCGUGAUACACUGUCUCAUGCUAAAUGAGACUAUUAGCUGACAAAAGCUUUUAGAGCUGGAAGUAUGUCAUUUUUGUUCAGGGAUGGAGAUGAGUAUUUUUGCUUUCGGUUAGAAUAAAUAUACAUCAAAUAUAGUAGGCUUUGGCAUCACCCAGAAAACUGAUGUUCUGUGGGUAAUGAAAUCGAAAGUGCUUAGCUGGUUUUCAGUGAUAGUCUGAGUAUGUCCCUGGUUUUCACAAGCAGCUCCUGCAGUGACAAACAGCAUGCAAGUUAUUUAUAUCAGUUCUUCCUUGAUUAUUGUUAGAUUUGCCCACUGGCUUUUCCUCAUAAGGUAAGCAGGAGAAAGACAUCAGUUAGUUUUUUGAAGUCCAGCUGUACUUUAUUUUUAACCCUUAUUUCCACGAGAUUCAUACAGCUGAGCAAUUGCAAGAGCUGAAGCUGUUGAACGCACAGUAUUUAAUUCUGACAACAUUAAGUAUUACUUUGUGUGGGGCUCAGUACUAAGCUUGGCAAAUAUCAGGUGAUAACUUUAUUCCCCUCUUGUCAACUUAUUCUCCUCCUGCAAAUCUUCACAGCUUCCAAAUGAAAGGUCAAUAGUAAGCUAAGAGGGCUUACAUUUUUAAGCACCUGCAUGGUGACCUCAUCUUACAUCUUGUCUCACCUGGAAAUAAUUAUCAGUUUAUUUACUAUGCAAUAGACAUUCAUCCUUGGUAUUCAGCUAGCUUUUUGUUUAUUGUGCCACUGGCUUUGUCUUCCUGUUACACAUACAGUUGUGUUGAUCUUAUUUACAGUAUAUGCUGUGCCAUUUUGAUUUAAUUUUGGUUGGUUGGUUGAAUAAACUUGCGACACUCAAAACAUUUGAAGAGAGAUUUGCUAAAACAAUACCAGUAUUUGAUCCAGUUUCAUCUCAACUAUGAUAAAACUUGGACAUUUUAGAUGUUUAUCAAAGGUCUUUUAGUGGGGCAGAGGGGAACUGUAUGAAAUAGACGUGUGACAUGUGAAAGUAAUGUUUGCUCUGAACAAACUUCUGAAAAUUUAGUUGACAAAAUUUUGGAUGAACUUAAAAAAAAAAAGCAUGACUUUGAAAUCUCUGAAUGCCUUGGUUCUCAGUAUUAUCAUUCUUUAAUUACUUUUUCUUUAUUAAAAUAAGUAGUUUUAAGACUUCUUUCUGACAGUAUUAUGUAAUUUUUUUAGAGUGGGUAGAUGGGAGUGUCGCUUGUAUGUAACCGUACAGAUGACAUGUAUUUGUCUAUUCUUUAUUAUCUUAGUAGUUUCAUGCAAUGUAUGUACCAUAACCAACCUAUUGCCUAUGAGAAACAUGUAAGAUAAUGUAUUUACAGCCAUUGUUACAAGUUUAUAAUGUAUUUUUCUAUCUUGUUUUAUAUGUAUGUUAUAUAACAUUCAAAAGAAUUUUUUUCCUGAUUGAGAAAAAAGGAUACAAAAUGCAAAACCCACAAUUUUGAUAACUGAAAAAUUGCCAAUUGUUUUGCAGUACUUUAUUAUAUUGGGAGUGUUGUCUUUCUUGGGCUUUUAGUUAGCUACUGGAUGAAUACAUUAGACAUAUUUGGGUUUUAGUUGGGUUUUUACAUAGCUUGCAUUUAAAUUCUUUGGUUCUUUGCUGUUUCUAUUAACCCAUAGCAUUAUUUUAAUAAAUGUUAUAAUACCAACCUA